rnacentral:lncRNA from 1 species
GUCAGUUGUCAGACCUCCGUGAUGUUCUGUUGAGAGGAUAUGAAACCAUAGGCUGUAACGAAUUACAAGUUCUUUGCUGUUGCCCAGCCAACACCUGAGGGAUCACGAACAAACCUGGGAAUCCUUGCUUUUCAUUGCCCAACGCAUUAAGAAUUCUCUCUCACCUGAUGAGCUAACACAACUCACAAAGACUGCAAAAUAGAGCACUGAGACGUCCCCUUUCAGUGAGUAGUCACAACUUCAGUUUUGUAUGUUGUUUUGCUCUGAGAUGUGUUUAUACUGUCGACCGAAGUGCUUCCAUCUAUGCUUGAAAAAUGCC